AUAAUUGUUAGGUAGAAUAAUAAUGCUAAUCUAUGUUAUCGUAGAUCGGUUCACAUGAGAAACUUAUAAGGUUUCGCAAGCUUAAAUAUUUCCACUAAUUUGCUAAGUUCAAUAUUGUUGGCUAGAUCUCGUUCGUUGCUAAUCUGGACCCUUAAGGUCCUUGAGUCUAUCAGGUGACAUAGCAACUUGCAAAUCAUUGUUUAUUAUUUUGACCUUGCUGUGUGUGCACUCACAUGAUGCCACUGUCACAGGCAAGGUAGCGACCUCAAACAAGUGGUGAUAACGGUCGUGCAAAUCAUCUUUGUUGAAAACUUCGAGCAAGGAGGGCAAGCAAAUCCAAGGUGGAAACUUUCUUUUGAACCCUUUCUCUAGACUCUUUCCUUUCCUUCUCUUCGCUGAUAUGAUGCUCGUAUGCAAUCUUCCAGUUGGUUCAUUGAAUAUUCCAGUCAUAUGUACUCUUCGUACCAUUUCUUUUGGAAUGUAAACUUUCUCACCGAUAUUGAAAAAUCUAAGAUAGGUCUAACCGCCCAGAUUAGAAAACGAAGGUUUUAUUUGCCUCCCUCACACACAACUUCACUUGAUGAAUCUCUUCCUUCAAACAUUUUUCUCUUCCAGUUGUGUAGUCAUGCGUUCCAAGAAGCUAAUGACCAUAUGUUGUGCGAACGGUGCAUUAAUUAACAUAUCUCCCUCACAUCUCAGCAGCAGGACCAAACUUCCGCAUCACACAUUGCACUUAAUUUUGAUAAUAUAUUAACCCAUUAUGGUGCAGGGUUUCCUUCGGCGGUCGUAAUCAGUUCCUGCAAUAUGCUAAUGGUAAAUUAAUACCGCAUAUAUGAAACGGUCUUUUGUCAAAAGUAAAGCGAUGAUCUUUUAAUACCGGUUUUUAUUCACACAAUAAAGACUGGAUUUAUUAAGUUAGAUCUAAAUAACUAGACUGAUGUCAAAAACGUACCCCCCCCCCACUUUUCUCACUGGAUUUGGACAAAUUAGAAAAUUGACCUUGAAGAGAACUGGGGGGGACGUGUCCUCCCCAGUCCUCCCCGUGGCGCCGCCACUGAUUUUUGUUCUUUAUUUGUCGAUUUUGGUGUUUAUGCAUUAUAUUGACGAAUAUAUUGUAGC